rnacentral:rRNA from 1 species
UUUCCAGACUCCUACGGGAGGCAGCAGUGGGGAAUAUUGGGCAAUGAGCGCAAGCCUGACCCAGCAACGCCGCGUGAAGGAAGAAGGCUUUCGGGUUGUAAACUUCUUUUCUCAGGGACGAAGAAAAUGACGGUACCUGACCAAGAAGCCCCGGCUAACUACGUGCCAGCAGCCGCGGUAAUACGUAGGGGGCAAGCGUUAUCCGGAUUUACUGGGUGUAAAGGGAGCGUAGACGGUUGUGCAAGUCAGAAGUGAAAGCCCGGGGCUCAGCUCCGGGACUGCUUUUGAAACUGUGAAACUGGAGUGCAGGAGAGGUAAGCGGAAUUCCUGGUGUAGCGGUGAAAUGCGUAGAUAUCAGGAGGAACACCAGUGGCGAAGGCGGCUUACUGGACUGUAACUGACGUUGAGGCUCGAAAGCGUGGGGAGCAAACAGGAUUAGAUACCCUAGUA